AUUGAACGCUGGUGGCAUGCCUUACACAUGCAAGUCGAGCGGCAGCACGGGUGCUUGCACCUGGUGGCGAGUGGCGAACGGGUGAGUAAUACAUCGGAACGUACCUUAUCGUGGGGGAUAAUGCAGCGAAAGCUGUGCUAAUACCGCAUACGCCCUGAGGGGGAAAGCGGGGGAUCGAAAGACCUCGCGCGAUUAGAGCGGCCGAUGCCUGAUUAGCUUGUUGGUGGCGUAAAAGCCCACCAAGGCGACGAUCAGUAGCUGGUCUGAGAGGACGAUCAGCCACACUAGGACUGCGACACGGCCCAGACACCUACGAGAGGCAGCAGUGUGGAAUUUUGGACAAUGGGGGCAACCCUGAUCCAGCAAUGCCGCGUAAGUGAAAAAGACGUUCGGGGUGUAAAGCUCUUUUGUCAGGGAAGAAACACCGGCUCUAACACAGUCCGGGAAUGACGGUACCUGAAGAAUAAGCACCGGCUAACUACGUGCCAGCCGCCGCGGUAA
rnacentral:rRNA from 1 species